rnacentral:rRNA from 1 species
GAUUCCCUUAGUAACGGCGAGUGAAACGGGAAAAGCCCAUCCCUGAAUCCCCUGGUCGUAUGACCAGUGUGGAGUUGUGGGGUAUGGGAGUGCCCAUGCGGCGGUGGUGACCUGUCCAGGUUCUCCUGAUUGAGGCUUUUACCCAUAGCGGGUGUAAGGCCCAUAUGACGGGUUGCCCUGCUGCUCGGGCGCUCCUAGGAGUCGGGUUGCUUGAGAAUGCAGCCCAAAGUGGGUGGUAAAUUCCAUCUAAGGCUAAAUACGAGCACGAGACCGAUAGUAAACAAGUACCGUGAGGGAAAGUUGAAAAGCACUUUGAAGAGAGAGUUGGACAGUACGUGAAACCGCUUACAGGUAAACGGAUGGGACCGCAAUGUCACCCCCGGGUAUUCAGGCCGUUCCGGUUUUGUCUGUGCGUAGCCUCUGGAGUCCGUUUGGGCCCAUGCUGUGUACUGGUGCAAUUCAGGACGACUGCAUUUACCCGGCUCGGUGAACACUUCCACCGCGUGUUGGACAGAAAGAAUCCUCUCAGCAAGGUAGCUCGUCGUCCUCGGGCGCGAGAACUUAUAGGUUGAGAGUGUGACUGCCUGUCUGGCGCGCGAGGAGCCUGGGCCGCCCACAACGGCCCUGCUCGCUCUGCUGGCGGUGACUGGCGAGGACUGCUUGCAGUGCUCUGCCGACUAUCGUUGCGGAGGUCGGGGCAGGUGCUGGCGUGGGUGUGGAUAGGGUUCGAAGUGCUGUCGGCACCCCAUCCGACCCGUCUUGAAACACGGACCAAGGAGUGCAGCGUGUGCGCGAGUCAAAGGGACCACCGAAUCCCCACGGCGUAAUAAAAGUGAUUGAGCAUUCAGUUGUUCUCACGGUGUGAUCCGAUGCCUUUGACGCAUCGGCGCAACACCAGCCCGCCUCGUAAACUUUGUUUUUGAGGCGGUGCUUGAGCGUACACGCUGCGACCCGAAAGAUGGCGAACUAUGCUCGAGUAGGUUGAAGUCAGAG